CAUCAGCUUCAGCACUUUGCAUGUGAACAGCGACCGUUGAACACAACCGCGUGGAAGGAACCUUCACACCCACAGGGAAAGCUCAUAAUCGUCCAGCCCACCAGUCUUGGGGACACACGGGGGGCUAGCCAAGGAGAAAGGGGCACAUGCAGCAUUCAGAGCGUCAAUGCUGGUGAAGAAAACAACGAGAGAGGAACCCGGGCAGGGAGAGAUGGCCUUUCUGGUUUUCCAGGCCAGGCAGGUUCCUACAGACCUUCAAGGAGCACAGCUGCCUGCCACAGCGACCGACCCGUCAAGGGAGGCGGUGAUGCUGCCCCAGGCUUGUGCGGAGUUGUACUGAUGUGUAAGUCAGUCCGGAGUGCCUCCCACGGUAAUCUCAUCUGCUGUAUUUUCUGUCUGAAUCGCUGGUGCACCGCUGAUUGUGACAUCCACUUCCUCACUCCUUUGCGUCCAAGCAGCUCUGGGAGUCUAUUAUCUAUCAUCAUUUCUAUCCUGAGUGAGCCGUUAGAGAAGAAAAGAGCCACACGCUCAGGAAGUUAAGAGACCUCUCUCCCGUGAUGAGCUUACAGAGAGAGAAAAAUGACCCAAACACAGGGAGGAGGGAAUGGGAGGCAGCCGUUCCUGCCCAUCCUCCUCCUCCAGCCAGCUGAAGACAGGCCACCAGAGCCCCCCAGGGACCUGCCGUGGCCUCCGAAGCCGUCUCCCUGCCUCCAGCCCCUUCCCUUCCAGCUUAUUUGCUGAAGCUCCAAGAGCUGUUUCUGGAAUACGAAUCUGAUCAUGGCCCCUCCUCCAAAUCCUCAGUGGGUUUCUCAAGACCCUCGGCACCACCCCUCACCUCUCAUCUCCUAAUCUGUGGCCCAUCAUGACAUCUUCUCCUCCCCUCAGGGACCUUCCUGGGCUCCCCAACCUCCAGGGAUACAGAACUCCAUGUAGGCCCCACAGUUUUCACUUCAGACCAGGCCUUUUCAAGGCUGGUCCCCACAAUAUCUCUGGAUCUCAAAACUGAUGCCCAUUGGGUCACCUGACACCAUCCAUGGAUCUGCCUUAGCUGGCCCUGAGUGUAGCCUGGGCAACUGCAUUUCCAAUGGUGGAGGAUUGUUCUAGAAGGUCCUCCUGCUUCUUUGCCUUGGGGGUCUUUUUUUUUUUUUUUUGAUGAAGAUUUAGCCCUGAGCUAACAUCUGCUGCCAAUCCUCCUCUUUUUUGCUGAGGAAGCCUGGCCCUGAGCUAACAUUCAUGCCUAUCUUCCUCUACUUUAUAUGUGGGACACCUACAACAGCAUGGCAUGCCAAGUGGUGCCAUGUCCACACCUGGGAUCUGAACCGGUGAAUCCCGGGCCACCGAGAAGUGGAAUGUGCGAACUUAAUUGCUGCACCACCGGGCCAGCCCUUGCCUGAGGGGUCUUGCUAGUCCUCCAGUCCCAGGUCAAGCCUCACUGGCCCUGUGAAGCUUUCUCCUGCUCAUCCUCCCUCCCUCCAG
rnacentral:lncRNA from 1 species